AUGGGUAUAGCUCAGUGGUAGGGUGCAUGCUUAGCAUGCAAGAGGUCUUGGGUUCAAUCCCCAGUACCCCCA
rnacentral:tRNA from 1 species